AGUGGAGGAAGUCGAAAUACAUGCAUGAAAUCUAAAAACAGACAUUAUGUCAAGUGUGGUAAUCUGGUUCUUCCUUCUAUUAACCGGUGAGUCAUCAUGUGUGCUCAUCACCAACAUCACCUGCUGGAGCUGCAAUUCCACCAAUAAUUUGAACUGUUCCCUAACACCAUCUUUCGGUUCUGGCCUGCAAACAUGUGCAGGAAUUGGAUGUUUGAAAAUUACUGAUAUUGACCAUGUGGUUGUUGCAAGAGGUUGUUACCAUGGUAAUUGCACGGACUACAAGAACGACAAUGUUGGCGUUUGGCAUUGCUGCCAAGGACCGGGUCAAGAUUACUGUAAUGGUGGCGAGAGUGUCGCAUGCGGCGUGCCAUUUCCUCUUGUAGGCUUCGUGCUGGGCCUCAUCCUCUUGCUUGGUGAAAGUGAAAAUUAGUCUCGAAGAUUUACGGCGCAACAAUAUGACCCAAGCGAUGUUAACAUCAUUUGGGGAAGGAGGGGGAGAGUUAUAGUUUCCCUUGUAAUCAGAAAGACCUCAAUCCUGAACGUUUUGCGUAACAUCUAAUCCGUUACUUUGGUGAGGAAAUGAAAAUUGCUUAUAGAAUUAGUCAUGGCGGACGAUUGCAAUUGAUUCAGUAUAUGUGUCGCUUUGAGAAUUUGUAUAAAAAUUGUUGAUUUCAAAAGUAACGUAACUUAUGAAAAAAGGACUGGUAUGCGCCGAAUGAUCCGUAAUUUUUAUACAGUUUUAAUAUAAAGCUAAACUGAGAUUCAGAUCCAUGAACUGUUGUGCAUGCUAUCAUAGUGUGUCACAUAUCAGGGACGAAUUAAAUGUUACGUAAAAAUUCAGGGUUGAGGUCUUUCUGAAUAAUUCGUAAAUAUUGUAGUUUGUUUGAGCUGCCUUUUUGGGAGAAGGGAAUUCCUUGAUGACUUUCCAGUACUGCUUUACAUAUUUUGCAAGCCCGGCUUACCAAACAGCGACCUUUUUGCCUAAAUGCAGAGCAAAACUCAUUGUAUAGUUGUCAUUCAAUGACAAAGCGGUCAACAACACUACUGUAGUUCUAGCGAAGGACCUUAGCAAUGUACCCAGUGCGUUUAUUACGCUUGUCAGUAAAUCACAUACUCGUGUAUAUUCCUCUCCAUCGAUUUUUGAAAAUAACACGUGUUUAGUAAAAGAAUAUGAAUCG